rnacentral:rRNA from 1 species
UACGUAGGGACCAAGCGUUGUCCGGAAUCAUUGGGCGUAAAGAGCGUGUAGGCGGCUUGUUAAGUCUUGCGUGAAAUCUCGGGGCUCAACCCCGAGCGGUCGUGAGAAACUGGCAGGCUAGAGUGCGGGAGAGGAGAGUGGAAUUCCUGGUGUAGCGGUGAAAUGCGCAGAUAUCAGGAAGAACACCGGUGGCGAAGGCGGCUCUCUGGGUCUGUCCUGACGCUCAGGCGCGAAAGCUAGGGGAGCAAACAGG